CUGGUAUGUUUAUAAUUUACUACUCUUAUGUAAUUUUUAUGCAUUUUACCCAAUAGUUUUUACUUUAUUAUAAGUUUGUAAAAUUAGUGGUUUUAUGUGUUUAAGUCUUCUUCCUAUUCUCCAUACUGUCAAUAUGAGUGCACUGUUUAGAGAACCAUGAUGUCCCUCACGAAGUUUGAACCUGUGUAGGGCCGGCUGUCUGCCUGCGUGUGCAUGCAGACAGCAAACCUUAUGUGUUAUAGCUGUGGCUGUCUGCCUGCUUUUGCAGACGGACAACCUUAUCUUUUGUUCCCCUGGUCUGCUCGGGCAGCCCCUCCCCUUAUAUCACUCUGGAUGACGCGUGCGUUCCACUUAGUCAGAACGCAUGCGUUCCACUGAGC